GAUGAACGCUAGCGACAGGCCUAACACAUGCAAGUCGAGGGGCAGCACAAGGAGCAAUCUGAGGUGGCGACCGGCGCACGGGUGAGUAACACGUAUGCAACCUACCUGUAAGAGGGGAAUAACCCGUUGAAAACGGACUAAUACCGCAUAACACUGUAGAACCGCAUGGUUUGACAGUUAAACAUUUAUGGCUUACAGAUGGGCAUGCGCAUGAUUAGCUAGUUGGUGAGGUAACGGCUCACCAAGGCAACGAUCAUUAGGGGUUCUGAGAGGAAGGUCCCCCACACUGGUACUGAGACACGGACCAGACUCCUACGGGAGGCAGCAGUGAGGAAUAUUGGUCAAUGGGCGAGAGCCUGAACCAGCCAAGUCGCGUGAAGGAUGAAGGUUUUAUGAAUUGUAAACUUCUUUUGCAGGGGAUAAAGUGUCCGACGUGUCGGAUUUUGUAUGUACUCUGCGAAUAAGGAUCGGCUAACUCCGUGCCAGCAGCCGC
rnacentral:rRNA from 1 species